rnacentral:rRNA from 1 species
AGCGAACGCUGGCGGCAGGCCUAACACAUGCAAGUCGAACGAACCUUUCGGGGUUAGUGGCGGACGGGUGAGUAACACGUGGGAACGUGCCUUUAGGUUCGGAAUAACUCAGGGAAACUUGUGCUAAUACCGAAUGUGCCCUUCGGGGGAAAGAUUUAUCGCCUUUAGAGCGGCCCGCGUCUGAUUAGCUAGUUGGUUGAGGUAAUGGCUCACCAAGGCGACGAUCAGUAGCUGGUCUGAGAGGAUGAUCAGCCACAUUGGGACUGAGACACGGCCCAAACUCCUACGGGAGGCAGCAGUGGGGAAUCUUGCGCAAUGGGCGAAAGCCUGACGCAGCCAUGCCGCGUGAAUGAUGAAGGUCUUAGGCUUGUAAAAUUCUUUCACCGGGGACGAUAAUGACGGUACCCGGAGAAGAAGCCCCGGCUAACUUCG